GGGGAUGAAUGGCUUCGAUGAAGAAUGAACUGAAAUACGCAAGCCAAGUUGUUAGCUCUUGUAAAAACUAACAAUCGGAUAAGUGCCAACUUAUUCAAACAACCCGUCCUAGCUUACGCUUAAGUAGCUGGACCAUUCAGUUCCGAUGAUUCUCGCUAUGCGGAAAUGAGUGUCAAAAAUCAGCGAGAUAAGCGGCUUUUCUUAAUCCAGAAAAACCGCUGAAAAUGGAUGGAUUAAAGAUAUAGAAGUUUUGUCUGGUUUUAAUUCUAUGUUUUUUAUUAAACCAAACUAAGCUUGUAGAAUUAUUUUAGCCAAACUCUUCAGACGCGGGUCCAAAUCCCGCCAUCUCCACAA
rnacentral:tmRNA from 1 species